CGUGUAGGCGGUUGGCCAAGUCUGAUGUGAAAGCCCGGGGCUCAGCUCCGGAAGUGCAUCGGAAACUAGCCAGCUGGAGCGCGAUAGAGGAGGGCGGAAUUCCUGGUGUAGCGGUGAAAUGCGUAGAUAUCAGGAGGAACACCGGCGGCGAAGGCGGCCCUCUGGAUCGUUGCUGACGCUGAGACGCGAAAGCGUGGGGAGCAAACAGGAUUAGAUACCCUGGUAGUCCACGCUGUAAACUAUGGGUACUAGGUGUUCGGGGUAUUGACCCCCUGAGUGCCGCAGCUAACGCAUUAAGUACCCCGCCUGGGGACUACGGCCGCAAGGUUAAA
rnacentral:rRNA from 1 species